rnacentral:tRNA from 1 species
CGGGGAAUAGCUCAGCCUGGUAGAGCGCCUGCUUUGGGAGCAGGAGGUCGUCGGUUCAAAUCCGGCUUCCCCGA